AGCCUUGAGGUGUUACACACGUUAGAUUGCAAAUCUUAAGUCGCAGAUUGACGUCUGCCGGGGCUU
rnacentral:tRNA from 1 species